GAAAAUACAAUCUAACUCAUAGUAUAGGGUCUUCAUAGUACUUUUACCUUGAAAUUGCUACAUAUUGUAGUGUUUGUAAAAAAACGCCACAAAUAUCAAUUUCCACAUUUUUUUUUCAUUUUUAUUUUGAAUAUUUAUUUUUUCAGCUUUUUUUGUUGAAAGGCGACUUGAUCAAAUGUUCGUCUUAUUGGGUUUGGUUCCACUCCAUUACUUUUUU
rnacentral:lncRNA from 1 species